CUCUGCAGUACCUGCCGGACACCAGGGUCGGUGCUGCGGUUUGGAGGGAACCGGGAAGGUUGGGGAAUCAGCGCUCCAGGCCAUGAUGCCCGCAAAAGGGCAAGGCCAAGUACAGCGGGAGCUGGGGGGAGGCAGGUUUCUUACCCAAUUUCCCCGGGUCCAGCCCCAUACAACGCAUGCCCCUGUGGCCUGGUCUUCCAGGCCCAGAGUGGCAUUGCAAGCACCACCCAACCCCCUUUGUCACUGUCGUUGAAGGAGGCAGAGGCCCUGGAGACUGAGACAAAGCUCUUUGAGGACUUGGAGUUCCAGCAGUUGGAGCGGGAGAGCCGCGUGGAGGAGGAGCGCGAGCUGGCCGGCCAGGGGCUGCUCCGGAGCAAGGCUGAGCUGCUCCGCAGCAUCGCCAAGAGGAAGGUGUGCCCCACCUCGUUCCCUGCUGCGUGCUGUUGGAGGCCAGUGACCUGGGUUUGAAUCCCAAUGACCUCACAAAAGUUAACUUCGUCUUUUGUGCCUGGAUUUCCUUGUCUGUAAAAUGAGAAUUACAACAGGUUGUUGUGAGAAUUAAACAAGAUGUAAAGACAGAAUAGGAUGUGAUUGUAAUGAGCACUCGGUGAAGAAUAACUAUUAUUAAGCUCUGACUCCCCUCAGUCUUCCAGUGGAAAGUGGAUUCUGCUCCCAUUCAGAGCUUGGCACUGGCCCAGCAGGAAGGUGAAAGAUGGAGGAGGAGGAGGCUUGCCCCUGUGCUUGCAGAGCUCUUGUCUGGUGGAAGUGCUGGGACACACAGAAAGAUUUGAGAUCUGGAUAUUAGAGCCAGCUAGGGGCCCUAGAAAGGGCAUUCAUUUCGGUUCCAGCCAUGGCUCAGCCCUGCCUUGGCUGAGCUAUAAAACAAGGGUUAUUGGGUAUUGUGGCCUGGCCAGCUGUGACACGCUAGCUAGAUACUGUGAUCACCUGCUCUUGAUCUCAGCCAGACCACAGGAUGGUGGCACAGGUGACUGUGUAUGUUUGGGGAGUAAAGCUGGGAGGAGGUAUGUGUUAGUAAGGGUUGGGAAGAGGUGAGGGAGGGAUUGGAGAGGAUGGCUCAAGCAGCUUCCACCCUUAUGGCUGAAGCUUGUGGCCAUGCACAUGCACACAUGCAUGUACAUUUUGCUUGGCUGGAGUUAGUGUGGGGGAAGUGAGGGUGGUGAGAUUGGGGAGGGGUGUCUAAAAUUGGUGACGUAGGGGAUUUGCUGGUUAGCCUGGGGUUGGUGGUAAGUGGGGAGCUGCUGGACUUUCCUUGAGUCCAGAUCCCAUGCUUCUCUCCCUGAGCUGCUGUCUUACAAACGCACUUUCUGGAUGUAAGACUGACUGAUGAAAGGAGGGAAGAAAAUUGACACACCUAAGCACAUGGGUGUGUGUCAGGCACCUUGCUGGGAGCCUUCCUUGGAUUACCUCAAUGCUGUCCUUAGGACGGUAUCACAAGACAAGUGCUGUUAUUCCCAUUUUAUAGACAAGGAAACUAGGAGUAGGAGAAGCUACACAUUUUGCCCAAAGCCUCCCAUUAUAUAAGCUUCAGAGUCAGAAUUGGAACCCAGGCCUGUUGGCCCAAAUCCCACGUUCCUUCGACUGUACUGCACUGAGGCUAGGGGCGGGCACUUCUCUAGCCUCUUCCUCUUUCUUUCUGGAGGGAAUGCGGUAGGGAGCUGUAGAUCAGCUAAUCUCAUCCCUUUGGGGUUCUGGUGAGUAUAAGCUCCAGGGAGUUUGGGAGGGCUUGGCAGUAGUGGAUUCCUCUUCCCACACCCACCCUGCCUCCUGGGAAACCGGAGCUCAGCCCCUAGGACCUGGGGUGUCACAUUCUUCCCCAUGCUCCUCCUUAGGAACCUUAUCCAGCUUUCAUCCUCAGACCCUAGUGUCCCACCCUAGGCUCUGUCUGCCCUGGUGCCCUGUGCUCCCCUGCCCUUUCCACUCUGAUUCAGAGUGACUCAGAGUACUGGUCUGGGAGUCCAAUAGAUGAUUCUAAUCCGUGCUCUACCACUUAGCUGGCUAAGAGAUCUUAGCUCCUAAAUAUGUUGGUGUUCUCACCUAUAAAAUGGGUAUAAAUGCACCUGCCUCAUAAAGGAGCUUAUUAAAUUACGUAACAAAUGCAAAACAUUUAGCAGAGUUCCUGGCUCCUAAUGGGUUCUUAGUAGAUGGCAGCUCUUGCGGUGAGGAUUACUGCCUAGCCUACUUUGUUGUUGUUGUUGAUUUUGAGACAGAGUCUCGCUGUUGUCGCCCAGGCUGGGUUGCAAUGGUGUGAUCUCACCUCACUGCAACCUCCACCUCCCAGGUUCAAGCGAUUCUCCUGCCUCAGCCUCUCAAGUAGCUGGGAUUACAGGUGCCCCCCCAACCCCACACCUGGCUAAUUUUUGUAUUUUUGGAAGAGGUGGGAUUUCACUCUGUUGGCCAGGCUGGUCUCAAACUCCUAACCUCAGGUGAUCCAGCCUCCUCAGCCUCCCAAAGUGCUAAGAUUACAGGCAUGAGCCACAGCGCCCGGCCAGCCUACUUUGGUCUUUUCUUGGACUGACCCCAAAUUUAGGACAUCUCCCUUCUUUAACUCUUCCUUUCCCAUGAUUUGUUCCUAAAGAUGGUGGUUUAAGGCCGCCUUCUUCAGGAAGCCCUCCUGGGAUUAACCCAGCCCAUUUUUCCCAUCUCUCAUCCUUCCCCCUUACUUACUAUCUUUUCAUUUCCUUUUAGCACAUGAUUGUUGAGCCAGAUAUAUUCACAAAUAACAAUAAUAAAGGCAGAUGGUGAUACAGAAGAAUGUGAGCACAGAGGAAGGAGCAAAGAAAUCGGCAAUCAAGGAAGGCUUUGGAGAGGAGAUAGCAUUUGGUCUAGUCUUAGAUGAUAAGUAAGCUCUU
rnacentral:lncRNA from 1 species